UUACGUCACCAACAGGUGCAUUCUGGGUGUGGCUAACUAACAUGCUAAUUUGCCAAAACUUUCACUCAACUCAAACUCCAAACUUUGAGGACUGGCGGAGAAGUUAAACCUGGCGCAAAUUAAAGAGGCCUCCUAGUUGCAUCCAGACAGAGAGUCCCCGAAAACCUUCAAAAGCCUGAAGCGGUAUAAAUGGACGAAAUCUUGAUUUGUGAAUAAUAUUCAGCGUUGGAGACUACUGGCUAUCUGCUGGUCGUCACUAGAAGGGUGCUGCUGCUGCUCAUCUGCCUCCAUGAUGAUUUCUGCACAAUCCUGAGAGGGAGCUUUCCUCUUCAACUCAAAUCUGAAAGGCAGAGAUGUACCAAAUGCUGCUGGGACUCCAAACUGGACUUGUUGCAGUGCAAACGACCUACAUCUUCGUUGAGUCUUAAAGCCUGGUGAUAAUAGAAAAUAAGGAGCCAGUGAAUGUAGCAUUGGAUUUUAAUAUUAAUAUUGUCUUUUAUCGUGCAAUUUUUCUCUCCUUCAUGCAUUUUGUUCCUCAUCACAUACAGACCACACGUGGCUUAUUCUGAACUCUUAUUCUCAGCAAAUAAAAUCUCUAAAAACUUC